UAGGGGUUCGAUUAUGGCUCAGGACGAACGCUGGCGGCGUGCUUUAUACAUGCAAGUCAAAGGAGAACGUUUUCUUCGGAAAACAAGUAAACUGGCGAACGGGUUAGUAACGCGUAGGCAACCUGCCCUAGUGACUGGGAUAACUCUGUGAAAACGGGGCUAAUACCGGAUAAUAUCUACUUUCCUUGGAAUUUAGAUCAAAGUAGGCUUCGGCUUACACAUUAGGAUGGGCCUGCGUCUGAUUAGCUUGUUGGUAAGGUAAUGGCUUACCAAGGCUACGAUCAGUAGGUGGUUCGAGAGGAUGAUCACCAACACUGGGACUGAGAUACGGCCCAGACUUCUACGGGAGGCAGCAGUAAGGAAUUUUGCGCAAUGGCCGAAAGGUUGACGCAGCAACGCCGCGUGAUUGAAGAAGGUUUUAGGACUGUAAAGAUCUGUCAUAAGGGAAGAAUUGUAUUUAUUCUAACAAAUUAUUUACUUGACGGUACCUUAUAAGAAAGCUCCGGCUAACUUCGUGCCAGCCGCCGCGGUAAUACA
rnacentral:rRNA from 1 species